UACGGGGGGGCAAGCGUUGUUCGGAAUUACUGGGCGUAAAGGGCUCGUAGGCGGCCAACUAAGUCAGACGUGAAAUCCCUCGGCUUAACCGGGGAACUGCGUCUGAUACUGGAUGGCUUGAGGUUGGGAGAGGGAUGCGGAAUUCCAGGUGUAGCGGUGAAAUGCGUAGAUAUCUGGAGGAACACCGGUGGCGAAGGCGGCAUCCUGGACCAAGUUCUGACGCUGAGUGAGCGAAAGCCAGGGGAGCAAAACGGG
rnacentral:rRNA from 1 species